CGGGGCGUGGCGCAGUCUGGAAGCGCACUUGAAUGGGGUUCAAGGGGUCGGAGGUUCAAAUCCUCUCGCCCCGACCA
rnacentral:tRNA from 6 species